GAUGAACGCUGGCGGCGUGCCUAAUACAUGCAAGUCGAGCGAACAGACGAGGAGCUUGCUCCUCUGACGUUAGCGGCGGACGGGUGAGUAACACGUGGAUAACCUACCUAUAAGACUGGGAUAACUUCGGGAAACCGGAGCUAAUACCGGAUAAUAUAUUGAACCGCAUGGUUCAAUGGUGAAAGACGGUUUUGCUGUCACUUAUAGAUGGAUCCGCGCUGCAUUAGCUAGUUGGUAAGGUAACGGCUUACCAAGGCAACGAUGCGUAGCCGACCUGAGAGGGUGAUCGGCCACACUGGAACUGAGACACGGUCCAGACUCCUACGGGAGGCAGCAGUAGGGAAUCUUCCGCAAUGGGCGAAAGCCUGACGGAGCAACGCCGCGUGAGUGAUGAAGGUCUUCGGAUCGUAAAACUCUGUUAUUAGGGAAGAACAAAUGUGUAAGUAACUAUGCACGUCUUGACGGUACCUAAUCAGAAAGCCACGGCUAACUACGUG
rnacentral:rRNA from 1 species